GACGAAGGGGGCUAGCGUUGUUCGGAAUUACUGGGCGUAAAGCGCGUGUAGGCGGUUAUCCAAGUCAGGUGUGAAAGCCUUGAGCUCAACUCAAGAAAUGCACUUGGUACUGGGUGACUAGAGGACCGGAGAGGAUAGUGGAAUUCCCAGUGUAGUGGUGAAAUUCGUAGAUAUUCGCAAGAACACCAGUGGCGAAGGCGGCUCACUGGCCCGGUACUGACGCUGAGGUGCGAAAGCGUGGGAGCAAACAGGAUUGAGAAACCCCA
rnacentral:rRNA from 1 species